CGGACUUGCCACUGUUUAUGGAAAACGAUGCAUGUAAAAGUAGACAACAUGAUAACAUGAUUGUUUACAUUCGUUUAUUCGUUGCGAAAAUUCGAAUUCAAAGAAAAAGAAAUUCGGCACGCGUGUUAAAUUGUGAAAAAUUUGUAUUUUGGUUAUAUUUUAUAAAAAAAGUUAUUAAAAACGUGAUUAUAAAAGUGGUAUAUAUAUAAUUUGAAAAGGUGAGUAAACGGAGUUAAUUUUAAUAUGAAAAAAAUACAUUUACUGCUUACAUGAGCCGAGAAAAAAAAGGCUUUUAAUGUCAGUGCCUCCAAAUUUGCCAAAAUAUGUAGUAAAUAUUAAUGUGAAUUCUGAUAGUGAUUCAAAUGUGGAAGAAUUGAGCUCCGUAGAUAUAUCUUUAAAUGAUUAUGAUAGCCAAGAUACCAUUGAUAGUGAUAGUGACAAUGUUAAUAUUGUAGUGAAAAAUGAUAAAUGCAAAGAAAUAAAAGCUUGGGCUUUACGUAAUAGGGUGCCCCACAAUACAGUGACUGAUUUGCUUCAAACCUUGCGAAAAAUAGGUUUAGUGGAUUUGCCCUUAACAGCAAAAAGUCUAUUAGGUACAAGUAGAAAAAAGGUUAAUAUUGAAACCAUUCCAAGUGGCCCGUUUUUAUAUAGAGUAAUUCAAAAUUAUUUUGAGAAAAAUUCAUUUCCUCACCUUGAAAUAAAAGAUAGCAUUGUACUGGAUAUAGGAAUAGAUGGUCUUAAAUUAUUCAAAAAUUCGAAUAAGGUAUUAUGGCCAAUUUUAGCGUCCAUCGUUGAUUUUCCAAGCGAAUUGCCAUUUACAGUAGCAUGUUUUUCUGGAACAGAAAAACCCUGGAAUAUUAACGAUUUCUUAAAAGACUUUUGUGAAGAAGUAGCUUAUUUAAAAGAAAACGGUCUUCAGGUAGGUUCUUCUUCCAUUAAAAAGAAAUUUAACAUUCGUUUAUUUUGCUGUGAUUCUCCCGCUCGAGCUUUUGUCACAGGUGUGCAAUCGCUCACUGGAAAAAACAGCUGUUCGAAAUGCGAUCAAAUCGGAGAAUACAAAGAGAGAAGAGUUUGUUUUUCAAAACGAGUUAAUCACUUAAGAACUGACUUGUCUUUUAAAAAUAGAAUUGAUAAAUCACAUCAUAUUAAUCCAUUUAAAUUUAGAGAAAGCAUUUUAGAAUUAGCAAAUUUCAAUAUGGUCUCCCAAUUUCCAUUAGACCCGAUGCAUCUUGUAGAUCUUGGUGUAUGUAAAAAGUUGCUUCAAUUACUAAUUAAAAAAGGGAAUAUAAAUGUAAGCAAAAUUAACGAAAAAAUAACUUUUCUCUCUAAUUUAGUUCCUUCUGAGUUUGGCAGGAUGUGUAGAAGUUUAGAUGAAAUCAGCAAUUGGAAAGCGACAGAGUUUAGGCAGUUUUUAUUGUAUAUAGGCAUAUUUGUCCUAAAAGAUUGUAUUAGUAGUGACCAUUACUACCAUUUUUUAUUAUUGCACGCAGGAAUAAGGCUGUUAUCAUGUGAAAAAUCAUAUAGUACUGAAGCUAACGUUGCCCAAAAAAUAUUACAAGAAUUCGUUGAUUUGUUUGGGAAUAUAUACGGAGACCAUUUAGUUAGUUAUAACGUGCAUGGUUUACUGCAUUUAACUGACUGCACUAAGCAAUUCGGUCCUCUAGAUCAGUUUUCAGCCUAUAAGUUUGAAAACCAUAUGCAAUAUUUAAAAAAACUUAUAAAUAAACCGAAUAAAAUCCUUCAGCAAUUGCAUUUAAGACUUGAUGAAAGAACUAAUACAAACAUUGAACCCAACAAAACUUUAAAAAUUAAUUUAUUUAAUAUAGAAUUUAAAAAAGAAAAAGAUUCUUAUUGUUUUAGUGAAAAAUUAGGGCCCAUAAAAGUAAUAACUAUAUCAGACGAAUCUGGUUGCGUUAUGGUAUCUGCACAUUGUUUUUAAGAUGUUGAAAAUUAUUUUGAAGAACCUUUAGAAUCGUCAUCGGGUUUAGGUAUUUUAGUAGCGAAGAAAUUAGAUAAAAAGGUAUUUAAAAUCAAAAAAGACGACAUAGUUUACAAAUAUUUCUCUAUUCCACAUGAGGGAAAGUUUCUCCUUAUACCCAUUCUACAUCAUUUAUUUCAUAAAUUUUCAAAUUAGGAUUUUUAAGUAUUUGUGUACAUAUAUUUUUCUCGGCUCAUUUUAUUACAUUUUCUUAAAUUUUUGGAAAAGAACUUCGAUACUGCCAAUUUUUAUUUCUCAAUUAGAUGGAAAAUAUAUUUGACGAAAUUGACUUGGAGGAUUGUCCAACAACGUCUUCAACUCCCGCAAAAGGUAUGUAAAUAAAUGUAAACUUACAAAAUUUCGUUUCAAUAUAUUGUUACGUUUUUGUUAUUGUAGACCAAUUACAUUUAAAGCGUAAAAAGUUUAACACGUCUGGUUGCUACAAUACAGAGGUCAGCAUUUCAAAACGACCUGUGGAAGGAAACGCUUGACGAUUUGACGACGAGGGUAUGCGAUUUGGAAACUAAAAUCGAUAAGCAUUUAAAAGAAAAUAUUAUUCAUAAAAGUGAAGAAAUGGCGCAGCAAAAAACGGUUCGUGAAUGCAACGUCCUCAUCCGCAAAAUUC